AUUGAACGCUGGCGGCAUGCCUUACACAUGCAAGUCGAACGGCAGCACGGGUGCUUGCACCUGGUGGCGAGUGGCGAACGGGUGAGUAAUACAUCGGAACAUGUCCUGUAGUGGGGGAUAGCCCGGCGAAAGCCGGAUUAAUACCGCAUACGAUCUACGGAUGAAAGCGGGGGACCUUCGGGCCUCGCGCUAUAGGGUUGGCCGAUGGCUGAUUAGCUAGUUGGUGGGGUAAAGGCCUACCAAGGCGACGAUCAGUAGCUGGUCUGAGAGGACGACCAGCCACACUGGGACUGGGACACGGCCCAGAGUCCUACGGGAGGCAGCAGUGGGGAAUUUUGGACAAUGGGCGAAAGCCUGAUCCAGCAAUGCCGCGUGUGUGAAGAAGGCCUUCGGGUUGUAAAGCAGUUUUGGCCGGAAAGAAAUCCUUGGCUCUAAUACAGUCGGGGGAUGACGGUACCGGAAGAAUAAGCACCGGCUAACUACGUG
rnacentral:rRNA from 1 species